rnacentral:rRNA from 1 species
AUUGAACGCUGGCGGCAUGCCUUACACAUGCAAGUCGAACGGUAACGGGCCUUCGGGUGCCGACGAGUGGCGAACGGGUGAGUAAUGUAUCGGAACGUACCUUUCAGUGGGGGAUAACGUAGCGAAAGUUACGAUAAUACCGCAUAUUCUGUGCGCAGGAAAGCAGGGGAUCGCAAGACCUUGCGUUGAUUGAGCGGCCGAUAUCAGAUUAGCUAGUUGGUGGGGUAAAGGCUCACCAAGGCGACGAUCUGUAGCGGGUCUGAGAGGAUGAUCCGCCACACUGGAACUGAGACACGGUCCAGACUCCUACGGGAGGCAGCAGUGGGGAAUUUUGGACAAUGGGGGCAACCCUGAUCCAGCCAUGCCGCGUGAGUGAAGAAGGCCUUCGGGUUGUAAAGCUCUUUCGGCCGGGAAGAAAUCGUAUCAGCUAAUACCUGGUGCGGAUGACGGUACCGGCAUAAGAAGCACCGGCUAACUACGUGCCAGCCGCCGCAGUAAUAC